rnacentral:rRNA from 1 species
GGCGGCGUGCUUAACACAUGCAAGUCGAGCGGAAAGGCCCUUCGGGGUACUCGAGCGGCGAACGGGUGAGUAACACGUGAGCAACCUGCCCUAGGCUUUGGGAUAACCCUCGGAAACGGGGGCUAAUACCGGAUACAACCUUUGGUCGCAUGACUGGGGGUGGAAAGUUUUUCGGCCUGGGAUGGGCUCGCGGCCUAUCAGCUUGUUGGUGGGGUGAUGGCCUACCAAGGCGACGACGGGUAGCCGGCCUGAGAGGGCGACCGGCCACACUGGGACUGAGACACGGCCCAGACUCCUACGGGAGGCAGCAGUGGGGAAUAUUGCACAAUGGGCGGAAGCCUGAUGCAGCGACGCCGCGUGAGGGAUGACGGCCUUCGGGUUGUAAACCUCUUUCAGCAGGGACGAAGCGCAAGUGACGGUACCUGCAGAAGAAGCGCCGGCCAACUACGUGCCAGCAGCCGCGGUAAGACGUAGGGCGCGAGCGUUGUCCGGAUUUAUUGGGCGUAAAGAGCUCGUAGGCGGCUUGUCGCGUCGACCGUGAAAACUUGGGGCUCAACCCCAAGCCUGCGGUCGAUACGGGCAGGCUAGAGUUCGGUAGGGGAGACUGGAAUUCCUGGUGUAGCGGUGAAAUGCGCAGAUAUCAGGAGGAACACCGGUGGCGAAGGCGGGUCUCUGGGCCGAUACUGACGCUGAGGAGCGAAAGCGUGGGGAGCGAACAGGAUUAGAUACCCUGGUAGUCCACGCUGUAAACGUUGGGCGCUAGGUGUGGGGGGCCUCUCCGGUUCUCUGUGCCGCAGCUAACGCAUUAAGCGCCCCGCCUGGGGAGUACGGCCGC